ACUUCUCUCUCCCGACAUCAUGUGAAGAAGGUUGGGUUUGCUUUCCCUUCCACCAAAUUGUAAGUUUCCUGAGGCCUUCCCAGUUAUGCAGAACUAUGAGUCAAUUAAACUGCUUUUCUUUAUAAAUUACCCAGUCUUAGGUAUUUCUUCACAGCAGUAUGAGGAUGGACAUUAGUCACAGUUAAACUUCUAUCAACACAACUGCAAUGUCACCUAGAAAAAGAACCUCAACAUCAGGAGACUUUCCAGAUCCCCAGCAACAUCCAAGAAAAAUGAUGCUCUGAUCAAUACUCAAUUUUCCAGUCUGCAUCGCAAUCUUGCUUGACAACAGACAUAAUACAUCAGGCUAUCUCAGCUAGAUACCAGCCAAUAAGAUCACUGAGGCCCUCUUUCUAACUUCAUGUUUACCUAGACAUUGUAUGACUAUAAAUUUGAUUUUCCAUGCAAA